UGGGAGGAAGAGUGGUGCUGUCAUUAUAGACAGCUAUGCAAUGACAGCAGUGUGGCAGGGCAAACAGACAGGCUUGAAACGGUUGGCCCUUGAUCGUGAUGUGGCUGCAGGAGCAGUCUGUCAUGAAGGACACUGGACACUCAUUAUCAUGUACCUGAAGGAGAUGAGGUCCUUAUACCUUGAUCCGUUUGGUGCCACUCAGCAACAGAUUGAGAGAUGUCAACAUGUAACAAGGUGAAUCAGCUGUAAUUUGUGCAUUAGACAUGUAUGUAUUCAUGCAUUUUGGAUAACCUUGGGGGAGCAACAGGCGAAUUACAUCAUUUCCCUUAUGACUAUACUAUUUCACUAGACUGGCAUAAGCUUGUCCUUUUGAGGGCCUUUAACACAAUUCAAGUGGUCU